CGAGCCGAGUCGCAACACCGUCGUCGCGCAGCGCGUGCUGGUUUUUCAGUGUGUACGUUUUGAUUGCAAAAAAAUAUAAGCAAAAGAGGAAGGCAAGCAACAAAGCUGAAAAAAACAUUUUUCAUUUGCGGCCUGGAAAAGCGCCCCAAAGAAAAUGAAUAGAUAAAUUGUGUUAAUCGCCCCAUCGAGCCAGCAAAUAUUUACUGUAUAUUUAUAUUUUGUUGUUGUGCUUUUUUUUUGUUGCGUUUGGGCAUUAUUCAUUUGUUAAUUGUGCAGCUGCCCGCUGCCUGCGAGUGAUAAAAAUGUCAUAGACGACGUGUUCUCUCGUGAAAAGCGUCGGACGACAGUGAGUGUCGCCUCCACAUCAUCCAGCCAUGACCAGCGGCAAUCGAUGAUUGCCAUUCCCUUAGCCAUUAAGAGCCAGCGAUAGAGGCAGCCGGAAAGGGAAAGGGAAAGUGAAAGGAAAGGGAAAGGAAAAGGGAAGGGAAGCCUUCAGCCCGCCAUUCAAACACAUCAAUAGCCGGAGGCGAUUCCCUCCCAUUCGCCCCGUAUUGAAAGCCAAGGACUAAAGUCACGCGGUCAACAUGCUGAUCAAGGAGUACCGCAUUCCGCUGCCCCUCACCGUCGAGGAGUACCGCAUCGCCCAGCUCUACAUGAUAGCGAAAAAGAGUCGCGAGGAGAGUCACGGCGAAGGCAGUGGCGUCGAAAUAAUCAUCAAUGAGCCAUAUAAAGACGGACCCGGCGGAAAUGGCCAGUACACGAAGAAGAUCUACCACGUGGGCAAUCAUUUGCCGGGCUGGAUCAAGAGUCUCUUGCCAAAGAGCGCUUUAACCGUGGAGGAGGAGGCAUGGAAUGCCUAUCCGUAUACCAGGACACGCUACACCUGUCCAUUUGUGGAGAAGUUCUCGCUGGACAUUGAGACAUACUAUUAUCCGGAUAAUGGCUACCAGGAUAAUGUCUUCCAGUUGUCCGGAAGCGAUCUGCGUAACCGCAUCGUGGAUGUGAUUGAUAUUGUGAAGGAUCAGCUAUGGGGCGGCGACUAUGUGAAGGAGGAGGACCCAAAGCACUUUGUGUCGGACAAGACGGGCCGUGGUCCAUUGGGCGAGGACUGGCUGGAGGAGUAUUGGCGCGAGGUGAAGGGCAAGAAGCAGCCGACGGGGCGCAACAUGUCCCUGAUGACCGCCUACAAGAUCUGUCGCGUGGAGUUCCGCUACUGGGGCAUGCAGACGAAGCUGGAGAAGUUCAUCCACGAUGUGGCGCUGCGCAAGAUGAUGCUGCGUGCCCAUCGGCAGGCGUGGGCGUGGCAGGACGAGUGGCACGGACUAACCAUCGAGGAUAUCCGGGAGCUGGAGCGACAGACGCAGCUGGCCCUGGCCAAGAAGAUGGGCGGCGGCGAGGAGUGCAGCGAUGAUAGCGCUUCGGAGCCGUAUGUGAGUACGGCGGCCACCGCCGCCUCCACGACGGGCAGCGAGCGGAAGAAGUCCGCUCCGGCCGUACCGCCCAUUGUCACCCAGCAGCCGCCGAGCGCCGAGGCCAGUUCGGAUGAGGAGGAGGGCGAGGAGGAGGAGGAUGACGAGGACGAGAACGAUGCCAUUGGCACCGGCGUGGAUCUGUCGGCCAACCAAAGCGGCUCCGCCCAAAGGUCACGCUCCCAGAGCAUCCAGAUGGCCCAGAAGGCCAAGUUCGGGUCGAAGGGCACCCUCCACUCGCCGGUGGGUUCGGCCCACAGCUUCGAUCUUCAGUCCAAAAAGCCGCAUGCAAAAACAGCGCCUCGCAGACAUGUGGCAAACUGGCGAAUGGAGCGAUUGGAAGUGGACUCCAAAUCCAACUCGGAUGAAGAAUUUUUCGAUUGUUUGGACACCAAUGAGACGAACUCGCUGGCCAAGUGGAGCUCUCUGGAGCUGCUGGGCGAGGGCGACGACAGUCCACCGCCACAUGGCGGACCCUCGAGUGCGUCAUCCGUUGGUGGGCGUGGCCAAUCGCGGCAGGAGGACAGCAUCUUCAAUCAGGACUUCUUGAUGCGCGUCGCCUCGGAACGUGGCAAUAAACGGCAGCUGCGCUCCUCGGCCAGUGUGGAUCGCAGCCAUGACUCCUCGCCGCCAGGAUCACCGAGCACACCGUCGUGCCCGACCACAAUACUAAUCCUGGUCGUCCAUGCCGGCAGUGUUUUGGAUGCGGCCAGCGAGCUGACGGCCAAGAAAUCCGAUGUGACCACAUUUCGCGGCUCCUUCGAGGCGGUGAUGCGCCAACACUAUCCCAGCCUGCUCACCCAUGUGACCAUUAAGAUGGUGCCGUGUCCCUCGAUUUGCACCGACGCCCUGGGCAUCCUGUCCAGCCUGAGUCCGUACUCCUUCGAUGCCUCACCAUCGGCGGCCGAUAUACCGAAUAUAGCGGAUGUGCCCAUAGGAGCCAUACCGUUGCUGUCCGUUGCAUCGCCGGAAUUCCAUGAGACGGUCAACAAGACGGUGGCCGCUGCCAAUAUUGUCUAUCAUGAGUUCUUGAAAUCGGAGGAGGGUCACGGCUUCUCCGGCCAGAUUGUGAUGCUGGGCGAUUCGAUGGGUUCGCUGCUGGCCUACGAGGCGCUCUGCCGAUCAAAUGGCAGCCAGCCGGGCACCGCAACGGGUGUCUCGAAUUCGGGCGGGGAUGGCUGUGGCGGUGUGGCCAACACCACCGGUACGAAUAUCAAUACCCACAAUCCGUUGGCCGUACGCCAUUCACGUUUGGACGACGACGAGCGCCUCUUCAUCGAGGCCGAUUUGGAUGCCAAACGGCUGUUGGUGGCACCAUCGCCACGGCGACGUCGUUCCAGCUCCUCGAGCGAUUCGCGGGCCGCCAAGCUGGACUUUGAGGUCUGCGACUUCUUCAUGUUCGGAUCGCCGCUGUCGGUGGUCCUUGCCGCACGGAAACUACACGAUGCCAAGGCCGCCCUGGCCAGGCCCAACUGCCACCAGGUGUACAAUCUGUUCCAUCCAACCGAUCCGAUCGCCUCGCGUCUGGAGCCGCUCCUCAGUGCACGAUUCUCCAUCCUGUCGCCGGUCAAUGUCCCCCGGUACGCCAAGUAUCCGCUGGGAAAUGGUCAGCCAUUGCAUUUAUUGGAGGUGAUUCAGUCGCAUCCGCAGCACUUUAACGAUGGCAACAACCUGUUGGCCGGCCGCCGAUUGUCAGAUGCCUCGAUGCAGAGCACGAUAUCGGGUCUGAUUGAGAAUGUGUCGCUUAGUACGAUCCAUGCCCUUCAGAACAAAUGGUGGGGAUCGAAGCGGCUGGACUACGCAUUGUACUGCCCGGAGGGAUUGAGUAACUUUCCGGCCCACGCCUUGCCGCACCUUUUCCAUGCCAGCUACUGGGAGAGUCCCGAUGUGAUCGCCUUCAUCCUGCGCCAGAUUGGCAAAUUCGAGGGCAUACCCUUUGUGGGCUCCAACGAUGACAAAGACAAUGCCUCCUUUCAUCCGGGACAGCCGCGCGAGAAGUGGAUCAAGAAGCGCACCUCGGUGAAACUGAAAAAUGUGGCCGCCAAUCAUCGGGCCAACGAUGUGAUCGUCCAGGAGGGCAAAGAGCAGCGGUUGAAUGCCCGCUUCAUGUACGGACCGCUGGACAUGAUCACGCUGCAUGGCGAGAAGGUCGAUGUGCACAUCAUGAAGGAUCCGCCGGCGGGUGAAUGGACAUUCCUCAGCACCGAGGUGACGGACAAAAACGGUCGCAUCUCGUACAGUAUACCGGAUCAGGUGUCCCUCGGCUAUGGCAUCUAUCCCGUUAAGAUGGUGGUGCGCGGCGAUCACACCUCGGUGGAUUGCUAUAUGGCGGUGGUGCCGCCGUUAACCGAAUGCGUGGUCUUUAGCAUCGAUGGCUCCUUCACCGCCUCGAUGUCGGUGACCGGUCGCGAUCCAAAAGUGCGGGCGGGGGCCGUCGAUGUCUGCCGGCACUGGCAGGAGCUGGGCUACCUGCUCAUCUACAUCACCGGGCGGCCGGAUAUGCAGCAGCAGCGUGUCGUUUCCUGGCUGAGCCAGCACAACUUCCCGCACGGCCUCAUCUCGUUCGCCGACGGCCUGUCCACCGAUCCGCUGGGCCACAAGACGGCCUAUCUGAACAAUCUGGUGCAGAACCACGGAAUCUCAAUCACCGCCGCCUACGGCAGCAGCAAGGACAUCAGCGUCUACACGAAUGUGGGCAUGCGAACCGAUCAGAUCUUCAUCGUGGGCAAGGUGGGCAAGAAGCUGCAGUCCAAUGCCACCGUGCUGAGCGACGGCUAUGCCGCCCACUUGGCCGGAUUGCAGGCGGUGGGCGGAUCGCGACCGGCGAAGGGCAAUGCCCGCAUGGUCAUCCCCCGUGGAUGCUUCAAUCUUCCCGGCCAGACGGCCAAUCCGCGACGCAGAAGGCUGCAUGAACAAGCAACGAAUGAAAAUUGAAUUGCAACCUAAACAAACAACAAUAAAUUGUUUAGAUCAAUUAAACAACAAUAAAAGCAUCUUGUAAACAGAUAGAAGCAAAAAAAAAAAAAUAAUACAAAAACUAUGCAGACAAUUGGUGUUAGUUUUAGUGUUAUAGAAUAUGCCCUAUACUCCCCACACAUUUUAUGAGUUCUCUUGUUAAGUAUUUUGAAGCAUACCUAGCUGAGCAUUUUAUUGAUUGAUUGGUGUUGUGAAGAAAAACCAAAAAACCAAAGAUUAUAUAAACCAAUGAAAAUACCACCAAUAUUGGAGGUGAGGAAAAGUCGAUGGAAAUCGAUGGUUUAAAUGCCUCCACCUCUAAACCGCACUUAGAGUGAAACGAAUUUGAACACUUUUUUUUUAAACAAUAACUCUAUCUCUCUUUUUCCAAAAACCAAAAUUUGCUUGAAAAAAAAAACUUGCAAAACGAACAAAACACCCACACACACACAUACCUCACACGCACACACUGCCAUCGAACUUGGUAUCGAUAAACAAACAGCAACGAGACGGGACUUUCAUCACCCAUACGCAGUGGUUACCUGAAGCGCAAGACCUACCUAAGCCACCACUAGAGCAACAGAGACGCAGCUAUAUAGAUUGAUCCAUCAGUCAACAACACAAAUUAAAUCCCCCGAACCCAGAUAGUAAUCCCUUCGAAAUAGAAUGAAGUAUAUAGCCAAAGGACAACAACUCCGAUGCCUCCAUAUGCCACAUCCGUGUACAUACCAUAUAAUUAUAUAUUUAUAUACUAUGCGCGAUAUAUAUUGAAAAUUCAAUGGUGUAAUAUAUAUAUCGAAAACCAAAUUUGCAAAUGAGAAAAAACAAUUGUACAACAUUUAACCAAAGUCAAAUGUGUCACGCGGUACCUGGAAAGAAAGACUGUUUCCUCCUGUUGUUUGAUGGUUUUUCAAACCACUUAAAGCAUUGAAAACUACACGAAACAAAAGCCGAUCGUAAAGCUAUCUACCAAAUACAAUUAUGAAAAGAUAUAUACAAGGAUAUAUUCAAAAUAUAGAACCGUUUAACAUAUGCAAGCGAACAAAGUUCAACAAACCAAGUGCGGCAUAACACCUGAAGGACAAACUAAUGAAACCGAAGAUCUCCCAAUGAAUUAAGAUGAAAACUAAGACAAGGACGACGUGCGAGGAAAGCGUUGCAAAAUCAAAAGGCAAAUUAAAUGCAUUUCUUGACAAACAACCACUACAAACUCUUACAAAAAGUAUAACUUAACGGCUUCCGUAAAACCAAACAAUUUAAACCUUAAAAUAGAUAACUAUAUUUGUGCGUGUAAAAUUUAUGAAAAAGGAAACGUCAUGAAAAUGAAUACAAUCUCUUACCUGGCCCCAGAAAUUUAAAAUCUCCAUAAUUGUGAUAGUCUUUCGCUACCAAAAGUUAAUUUAAAAAAGAAACCAGAAAAAAAAAUAUAUAUAUAUAUCUACAAAAUUUGUUAUUUGGCAAAAAAAAAAACUGUCGAGAAAAGUUAAAAGAAGUUAAAAUUAUAGAAACUAUUGGAUAUUGUGUAAACGUAAAACCCGAUUAUGUGAUACCAAAACCAAAAACCGAAACCAAAGUUGAGUUCGAGAUGAGAUCAAGCCGAAAAUUUCUCGUGCUAGAAACCUAAACAAACAACUCAUGGCGACCUGAAAAGAUGCAACGGGCAUUGAAUCUGACCCAUAAAGUACUUUAUAUAUAUAUAUAUAUAUAUAAACACCAAUAUGUCUGCUUAACCCAGUUACAUACAUAUAUGUGCUGUCCACACAAGUUAACUAAAAACACUCACUCAACUUGUGAACCUAAAGAAAUCUGAGAUGAGGGUACAAAAAGGGAACUUUAAGAGAUCGAAAUACACGAUAUAUAUGUUUGAUCUGAUUAGGUCGGACUACUUAAGCCAAAAUUGGUUAACUGUCGAGUAGUUCAAGAUGAUCGAACGUAAGACACUUCCUAUAAAUUGAAUAGUAAACGCAAAUUGAAGAGUUUAAACCGAUAGUUGUAAAGAGAACAGAGUAAUUGUAUGUAAGGAUAUAACCUAGACCACAUACUGUAUAUUUAUCUAGCGCAACUACAUUAAGGACUUUUGGAGCAGCUAGUGAAACUGCAAAAGUGUUCCGAUCAAAAUAUUGUCCGGCUAUACGUUCCUCUCUCCUCCACUUAAGUCGACUUUUAACUCUCCUUAAUUUUUGUGUAGCGAGUAUCAAACUUAAAACUGAUGGAAGAAAGUCUACUAGAUUGUAAGAUGAAUCUCUCUACCCAUGAAGAGUUUAUCCUAUUUUUUAGUACAUAGCCAGUUGGUUCAAAAGCAUGAGGUAUAAAAGUUAAAGGCAUGUCCUAGUAAAUAAUAACACCAGAUACUCAUAGAGUCGAAGGGUUGAUGUCUGUCUAUUUAGCAGGUAAAUAAGUUUUCCAUAUAUGUCCUUUUCUUCUAUGCCGAUUUCCUUUCAAACGGUAGAUUUUUUCGUACCUGAACAAAUUUCUCAAAAUUAGCAAAUUCUCAAAUAGCAAAUUGUAGCUUCUUUUUUAUAAUUUUAAACUAUUAAAAUCUUUCGAUUGAAAGAAUGGAAUUAUUUUGGAGCGUUCCUUAUUAUUUUAUUACAGUGCACUUUUAUAUAAAUAUAUUUCACACCAAAAAAAAAUUAAUUUUUGGGAAACACGUUUAAAAUUGCACACAAUGGCAAAUAAGCGAUUGUUCUCUGUUCUUCCAAAAUUUAAUAUCGAUUGGUGAAUCGUAGAAUUGAGUGGGUUGUAGAAUUCUACGUUCAAUAUCUCAACUUUCCGCCAGAAUAAGAACUCCCUAAGCCAAUAAAGCGUUUAGCAAAAUUGUGUUGAUAUUUUGAGAACCCACCAUUUAGAUGAUAAGCUAAUGCCCUCAACACACGCGAUGAUGAUGUCUAAUGCCGAGAAUUUAAACAAAGAACAACAAAUUUCAAACAUUGAAAUGGUUUAACACACUACAUGCAAUUGUUACGUACAUAAGUAAAUAUAUGUCCGUUGGGUUAUGUAUUUUAAUUGUUAAGUGCAAAAGUCCAGGAAUAACAAAUACGAAUUCAGAAUGUAAACAAUUAUAAAGAGAACGAGGCGAACUAAAAAUGUAAUUAUUUAUUGACAACAAAAUCUACAAGCAGAUGAAGAACAAAAAACGCGGAGCAAGCCAAAUGCAAUCUAUUUACAAAAUCCUAAACAAAAAUAAGUUCAAGCAAGCAACAAUGAAUGACAAACCGAGGAAUUAAAGAUAGUUGAUCCAAGGGAAAUGAAUAUAUAUAUAUACAUAUAUAAUAUAUACAUACCCAAAAACAAGAGAUUUUUAAGCCAAUGAUUGAAAUUGGACUAUGACAAAUAACAAAAUAAAAUAUGGCAGUAACAAAUAUUUUUCGAUGUAAGCUGUUUGUUAGAAAAAGAUCGAGUUUCAGCGAAUGAUAUGGCUAAACCAGUUAUUAAUUUCACAGAAAAAUCGAAAAUAAAGCGGUUCAUGAAAAGAUAAAAAAAAAAAAAAAAAAAAA